rfam:Octadecabacter temperatus strain SB1, complete genome.
AUGUGUAAGGAUCGCCCCCAGUCAGCGCGUUGCGCCCACUGGGGCUCUACUG